UACGUAGGGGGCAAGCGUUGUCCGGAAUCAUUGGGCGUAAAGCGCGCGUAGGCGGCCCUGUAAGUCCGUUGUGAAAGUCAAAGGCUCAACCUUUGAAAGCCGAUGGAUACUGCAGGGCUAGAGUCCGGAAGAGGCGAGUGGAAUUCCUGGUGUAGCGGUGGAAUGCGUAGAUAUCGGGAGGAACACCGGUGGCGAAGGCGGCGACCUGGGUAGAUACUGACGCUGAGGCGCGAAAGCCAGGGGAGCAAACGGG
rnacentral:rRNA from 1 species